CUUGAAGAGCUGGGCCUUCUGCCUAACCUCUGGGGUGUUAUGGUCUCCUGCCUGCAGCGACCGGAGUCCCUGUAUCUGUCUUAUUAGGUGUGUCUUUCGCUGCAGGAACUGUACUUGUGCCUGGUGGUCCUUCCGAGCCGUCUCAGCUUUCACAUCCUCCAGUUCCUUCUCUAACAUCUGGAUUUUCAUCUGCUGGCUCUUCUGUGUGGAGGAAAUGUGCUCCAUUGACUGAAAUUGCUGCUCCAACUGGAACUGCUUGAUCUUUCCCUGAAAGAGCUGUGUUUGAAGUUCCUCAGUUUGCUUGGCGAACCUGAGUUUCCUGUCUCCAGGUUCCUGUCUUGAGCUCCUGGCCCUGGGAACUGUGAUACAGAAGAAAAGAUGAAAUAAACCCUUCCCAGUGUUGC
rnacentral:lncRNA from 1 species